UGGGGAAUAUUGCACAAUGGGGGAAACCCUGAUGCAGCGACGCCGCUUGAACGAAGAAGGUAUUCGUAUCGUAAAGUUCUGUCCUAUGGGAAGAUAAUGACAGUACCAUAGAAGAAAGCUCCGGCUAAAUACGUGCCAGCAGCCGCGGUAAUACGUAUGGAGCGAGCGUUGUCCGGAAUUAUUGGGCGUAAAGGGUACGCAGGCGGUUUAAUAAGUCGAAUGUUAAAGAUCGGGGCUCAACCCCGCAAAGCAUUGGAAACUGAUAAACUUGAGUAGUGGAGAGGAAAGUGGAAUUCCUAGUGUAGUGGUGAAAUACGUAGAUAUUAGGAGGAAUACCAGUAGCGAAGGCGACUUUCUGGACACAAACUGACGCUGAGGUACGAAAGCGUGGGGAGCAAACAGG
rnacentral:rRNA from 1 species